rnacentral:rRNA from 1 species
CACGUAGGGUGCGAGCGUUGUCCGGAAUUACUGGGCGUAAAGCGCGUGUAGGCGGCUAAGUAAGUCGGGCGUGAAAUCCCACGGCUCAACCGUGGAAGUGCACUCGAAACUGCAUAGCUAGAGUCCUGGAGAGGAAGGUGGAAUGCUUGGUGUAGAGGUGAAAUUCGUAGAUAUCAAGCGGAACACCGGUGGCGAAGGCGGCCUUCUGGACAGUGACUGACGCUGAGACGCGAAAGCGUGGGGAGCAAACAGG